GCGCCUGUAGCUCAGAUGGAUAGAGCGGCAGCCUUCGAAGCUGAAGGUCGGGGGUUCGAAUCCCUCCAGGCGCGCCA
rnacentral:tRNA from 1 species